CAAUGGGACCUGAUGGAAUACACCUAAAUCUGUUAAAAGAGCUUAGUGGUGUACUAGCAAAACCAUUAACAGACUUAUUUAACCAAUCAUUGUUAACAGGAGUAGUCCCAGAAGAUUGGAAGUUAGCGAAUGUUGUGCCCAUUCACAAGAAAGGUAAUAGGGAGGAGUUGGGCAACUAUAGGCCAGUAAGCCUUACUUCAGUAGUGG